rnacentral:rRNA from 1 species
UACGGAGGGUGCAAGCGUUACUCGGAAUCACUGGGCGUAAAGGACGCGUAGGCUGUUUAGCAAGUCAGGUGUGAAAUCCUAUGGCUCAACCAUAGAACUGCACUUGAAACUGCUAGACUAGAGUAUGGGAGGGGGAGAUGGAAUUAGUGGUGUAGGGGUAAAAUCCGUAGAUAUCACUAGGAAUAUCUAAAGCGAAGGCGAUCUCCUGGAACAUUACUGACGCUAAGGCGUGAAAGCGUGGGGAGCAAACAGG